AACGAACGUUGUCGGCGUGGAUUAGGCAUGCAAGUCGAACGAAUCCCCAGGGGCUUGCUCUUGGGGGGAAGUGGCGAAAGGGGCAGUAAGGCGUGGGUAACCUACCCCGGGGAUCGGGAUAGCCUUCCUAACGGAUGGGUAAUACCGGGCGAUGUAAGCGAGGGACAUCUCUUGCUUACGAAAUGAGUUUCGCCUCGGGAGGGGCUCACGUGCUAUUACCUAGUUGGUGAGGUAACGGCUCACCAAGGGAAAGAUGGCUAGCGGGUGUGAGAGCACGACCCGCGCCACUGGCACUGCGACACUGGCCAGACUCCUACGGGAGGCUGCAGUCGAGGAUCUUCGGCAAUGGGCGCAAGCCUGACCGAGCGACGCCGCGUGCGCGAUGAAGGCCUUCGGGUUGUAAAGCGCUGUCGAGGGGGAGGAAAGCCGCAAGGUCUGACCUAUCCCUGGAGGAAGCACGGGCUAAGUUCGUGCCAGCAGCCGCGGUAAGACGAACCGUGCGAACGUUGUUCGGAAUCACUGGGCUUAAAGGGCGCGUAGGCGGACUGCCAAGUCCGGGGUGAAAUCGUUCGGCCUAACCGAACAAUGGCCUUGGAUACUGGCGGUCUCGAGCGAGGUAGGGGCAGCUGGAACUUCCGGUGGAGCGGUGAAAUGCGUUGAUAUCGGAAGGAACGCCGGUGGCGAAAGCGAGCUGCUGGACCUUUUCUGACGCUGAGGCGCGAAAGCCAGGGGAGCAAACGGGAUUAGAUACCCCGGUAGUCCUGGCCCUAAACGAUGGGUACUAGGUAGUGGACUAGACAUGGGUUCACUGCCGAAGCCAAAGUGCUAAGUACCCCGCCUGGGGAGUAUGGUCGCAAGGCUG
rnacentral:rRNA from 1 species